GGGGGGAGGCCGGAUCCUGGGCUGUGUCCCAGGUGCCCUGUGUUUCGGGGCCUGCACUGUUGGAUUCGCGUUCUGGCCGCGCAGCUGCCU
rnacentral:pre_miRNA from 1 species